rnacentral:rRNA from 1 species
UUACGGCCACAUCACAUUGUAACACCGGUUCCCGUACGAUCACCGAAGUUAAGCAAAGCCAAGCCUGGUCAGUACCUGGAUGGGUGACCACUUGGUAGUAUCAGGUGUU